CCAAUCAGCGCACCGCCGCCAGACAUCAGAGUGAGUAUAUAAGAACAGCGGGCCUUGCUGCUUUCUCUCUUCCUCCUGUAGUCUUCCAUGCGAGCGGAAGUCCCCAAGAAAGAGCUAUGGGUCUAUUUGAAAUGGCAGUUCAACCUUGUUUCCCAAUAUGCAGAAUGCAAGUACUGGGCGACACCAAAGGUGCAAGGCCAAAACCAUCAAAUGAGAACACAACAUGCAGGUGAAUGGAGACCUGUCGUUUGUAAAUGAAAACUGCUCAUUCAGGCGUCUAUCCGCUUGACCUCUUGGUGUUGCAGAGCUGUAACGAAGUGCAUUCACAUCUGUAAUUUUCAGGUAUGGUGCUACGUUGGGAGUGUCGUGACAUUUCCAUGACAGAAUUGCUGCCAACUUUCCGGCUAGGUACAAACACUACUGAAGAAAACAACUUUGAUCGGAGCUUUCUUGCAGCUGUGAAAUGCAUGAAUCAGUUGACCUGGCUCUUUAACCUCCUAAGACCUGAACUUUUUCAUGGCAUGCAUUUUUAAUUUCUCUUUGAUAUUUGGGCUGAUUGGGACCUGAUGAAUGUAAAAACAAAGAAUUGCCAGAUUUUUUAUUUUAUUUUUAAACCUAAUUUGUUUCCAAGAAAAAUUAGAGCCACAGAUGAGGAUAUUUAUAUAAAAUCUAAAUAGAACAGUAGCAGUACAAUGUCCUCGUAAGUGGAUAUCAGGUCCUUGUAGCACAACAUUGAGUAUUUUGGUCUAAAUAAGCCAAAAUGUGACUUCCACAUAUGUGGACGCCAGGUCCUAGGAGGUUAAGGGCUGAACCUAAGAAAAUGAACCCUGUGUGUGACAAUUGCAGAUUGUAAUAAAACUGACUUGACUACCUCUGGAAA